GACGAACGCUGGCGGCGUGCCUAACACAUGCAAGUCGAACGGACAGGCCCUGCUUUUGCGGGGUGCUCGAGUGGCGAACGGGUGAGAAACACGUGAGUAACCUGCCCUUGACUUUGUGAUAACUUCAGGAAACUGGGGCUAACACAGGAUAGGAGCUCCUGCUGCAUGGUGUUGGUUGGAAAGUUUCGGCGGUUGGGGAUGGACUCGCGGCUUAUUAGCUUGUUGGUGGAGUAGCCGCUUACCAAGGUUUCGGCGGGUAGCCGGCCUGGGAGGGUGACCAGGCUCAUUGGGCCUGCGGUACGGACCAGAGGCCAACGUGAGGCAGCGGUGGAAAAUAUUGCGCAGUGGGCCGGAGCCUGGUACAACGGCUUCGGGUGCGGAAUGACUGUUUUCGGGGUAUAAACCGCUUUCGCCUGUGACGUAGCGUGAGUGACGGUAACGAAUAAAAAAGCACCGGCUAACUACGUG
rnacentral:rRNA from 1 species